rnacentral:rRNA from 1 species
GACGAACGCUGGCGGCGUGCUUAACACAUGCAAGUCGAACGGAAAGGCCCUGCUUUUGUGGGGUGCUCGAGUGGCGAACGGGUGAGUAACACGUGAGUAACCUGCCCUUGACUUUGGGAUAACUUCAGGAAACUGGGGCUAAUACCGGAUAGGAGCUCCUGCUGCAUGGUGGGGGUUGGAAAGUUUCGGCGGUUGGUGAUGGACUCGCGGCUUAUCAGCUUGUUGGUGGGGUAGUGGCUUACCAAGGCUUUGACGGGUAGCCGGCCUGAGAGGGUGACCGGCCACAUUGGGACUGAGAUACGGCCCAGACUCCUACGGGAGGCAGCAGUGGGGAAUAUUGCACAAUGGGCGGAAGCCUGAUGCAGCAACGCCGCGUGCGGGAUGACGGCCUUCGGGUUGUAAACCGCUUUCGCCUGUGACGAAGCGUGAGUGACGGUAAUGGGUAAAGAAGCACCGGCUAACUACGU